rnacentral:piRNA from 1 species
UAGGGAGGUUCCCAAAGAGAAGAGAGAGA